CGAAUGCCAAUUAAUUUAACUUGGGAGUCAGAACAUGGGUGAUAAGGUCCGUGUUCGAAAGGGAAACAGCCCAGACCACCAGCUAAGGUCCCAAAAUAUAUGUUAAGUGGAAAAGGAUGUGGCGUUGCCCAGACAACUAGGAUGUUGGCUUAGAAGCAGCCAUCAUUUAAAGAGUGCGUAAUAGCUCACUAGUCGAGUGACACUGCGCCGAAAAUGUACCGGGGCUAAACAUAUUACCGAAGCUGUGGAUUGUCCUUUGGACAAUGGUAGGAGAGCGUUCUAAGGGCGUUGAAGCAUGAUCGUAAGGACAUGUGGAGCGCUUAGAAGUGAGAAUGCCGGUGUGAGUAGCGAAAGACGGGUGAGAAUCCCGUCCACCGAUUGACUAAGGUUUCCAGAGGAAGGCUCGUCCGCUCUGGGUUAGUCGGGUCCUAAGCUGAGGCCGACAGGCGUAGGCGAUGGAUAACAGGUUGAUAUUCCUGUACCACCUAUAAUCGUUUUAAUCGAUGGGGGGACGCAGUAGGAUAGGCGAAGCGUGCGAUUGGAUUGCACGUCUAAGCAGUAAGGCUGAGUAUUAGGCAAAUCCGGUACUCGUUAAGGCUGAGCUGUGAUGGGGAGAAGACAUUGUGUCUUCGAGUCGUUGAUUUCACACUGCCGAGAAAAGCCUCUAGAUAGAAAAUAGGUGCCCGUACCGCAAACCGACACAGGUAGUCAAGAUGAGAAUUCUAAGGUGAGCGAGCGAACUCUCGUUAAGGAACUCGGCAAAAUGACCCCGUAACUUCGGGAGAAGGGGUGCUCUUUAGGGUUAACGCCCAGAAGAGCCGCAGUGAAUAGGCCCAAGCGACUGUUUAUCAAAAACACAGGUCUCUGCUAAACCGUAAGGUGAUGUAUAGGGGCUGACGCCUGCCCGGUGCUGGAAGGUUAAGAGGAGUGGUUAGCUUCUGCGAAGCUACGAAUCGAAGCCCCAGUAAACGGCGGCCGUAACUAUAACGGUCCUAAGGUAGCGAAAUUCCUUGUCGGGUAAGUUCCGACCCGCACGAAAGGCGUAACGAUUUGGGCACUGUCUCAACGAGAGACUCGGUGAAAUCAUAGUACCUGUGAAGAUGCAGGUUACCCGCGACAGGACGGAAAGACCCCGUGGAGCUUUACUGUAGCCUGAUAUUGAAAUUCGGCACAGCUUGUACAGGAUAGGUAGGAGCCUUUGAAACGU
rnacentral:rRNA from 1 species